CAGGUUGUAAAGUAGCCUAACCCUGCUUCCGGAGGUGAUUUGUGGUAUAUAAAGCGAUGAUGCUUACGUUCUGCUUUGUUGGCCUUUCAGCCUUUUGCCUUCACACCUUUUACUUUUUAAGUUGUCAUAUACAACACUUUCAUUCUCUUUCAAAAAGCAACGGUUUCAAUUUAUCCCUUUUGCCUUUACGGUUGCAGGCAGACAUGGAUGGAAAUUUUCCUGAUCUGCUAAGCUCUAUGGAUUUCCAUAGUCUUAUCCUUACAAGUAAAGUUGAAUAUUUGAGGAUUUAAGGUUAGCAUUUAAAUGUUGGUUUACAUUAGUACUGGCACGAUCAUUAUGUAUAUUGAAUUUUGCAUAUAUGGUUGCACACAAAAGUAUAGAAGUUGGGGAUUUUGAUGAGGACCAUUUUUAAUUUUGGAUUUUGCUGUUGAUGUUGGCUGCUAUGUAGAGCCACUGGGAGGGAUGGUUACAUGUUUGAUGCGAGGCAAGUUGAACAAAUAGAGCAUGAUGAUGGACAACAGCUCAAAGUGAUGGAAGAAGAAUACAGGUGUGUCCUUUGCUUCUGUUAAUCCAGCAGUAGAUUCUUUUGGCUUGUGAUGUGUGUUGCUGCACCAGAUAAAAGGCAUGAGGUGUAUAUACUCCUUGCCUGCUAUUUAUAAUGUGACAUAGUCAGCGUUGCUUGCAAUUUGGAACCGAUUACAUCUUCUACUGAGGUGAGGUUAUUAUUUGGUAUUCUCUGAUGCAAAACUGGUGUAUCGGUAAGUGUCGCUUGCAUGGACAUAGCUUUCGUCCUCUUGAAAGGUUCAAGCUUUUUAUCAUGCCUAAAAGCAAAAAAAAGCUGCCUCUCUGCAAUGAUCGCUGCUUCAACUGGUAGGUCUUCUACAAACAAUGAUGUGCGUAUCACUCGGUCAGCAGGUGCUGAAGAAAAAUAUGAGCAGAUUCGCAGAGACGGCUACUGAAAUAAACAUCUGCACUCAUCAAUGUACUGAAAUGUUGGCUCUAAAUCUUGUUGUGCAG
rnacentral:lncRNA from 1 species